UAGGGAAUAUUGCACAAUGGGCGAAAGCCUGAUGCAGCAACGCCGCGUGCACGAUGAAGGCCUUCGGGUCGUAAAGUGCUUUUCGGGGAGACGAGGAAGGACGGUAUCCCCGGAAUAAGGAUCGGCUAACUACGUGCCAGCAGCCGCGGUAAAACGUAGGAUCCGAGCGUUAUCCGAAUUCACUGGGCGUAAAGCGCGUGCAGGCGGAUCAGUAAGUUGGAUGUAAAAUCUCCUGGCUCGACUGGGAGGGGACGUACAAGACUGCUGGACUAGAGGAUGGCAGAGGAAGGUGGAAUUCCCGGUGUAGUGGUGAAAUGCGUAGAUAUCGGGAGGAACACCAGAGGCGAAGGCGGCCUUCUGGGCCAUACCUGACGCUCAGACGCGAAAGCUAGGGUAGCAAACGG
rnacentral:rRNA from 1 species